UACGAAGGGGGCUAGCGUUGCUCGGAAUUACUGGGCGUAAAGCGCACGUAGGCGGCUUUCUAAGUCGGGGGUGAAAUCCUGGAGCUCAACUCCAGAACUGCUUUCGAUACUGGAAAGCUCGAGUCCGGGAGAGGUGAGUGGAACUGCGAGUGUAGAGGUGAAAUUCGUAGAUAUUCGCAAGAACACCAGUGGCGAAGGCGGCUCACUGGCCCGGUACUGACGCUGAGGUGCGAAAGCGUGGGGAGCAAACAGG
rnacentral:rRNA from 1 species